rnacentral:tRNA from 2 species
GCGGUUGUGGUGGAAUUGGCAGACACGCUAUCUUGAGGGGGUAGUGCCCACCGGGCGUAAGGGUUCGAGUCCCUUCAACCGCACCA